CCCUUCCAAAAUUUUGCCUAAAGAAAAAGAGGAGGAAAAACAGAGCAAAAACUACAACACGGCUGGAGAGAGAGAGAGAGCGAAGAGCAGUCCUUCAGAGUUACCUCCUUCGUAGCCCCGUUCGUCUUCGCUUCUCCCUCCGCUCGACGAAGACCCUCAAACGAAGCAAACGGAGCCGUCUCCCCUCUCCCUCCGGCCGGAGCUCUCUCACCUCUCCCUUCCACCGCCCAAUUUCAGGUUUCAAUUGCUGCCAAGACUCAGUAGUGCUUCAAGAGAGAAAACACAGGUACCCAAAUGAACACAAUGUUGGGGUUGAGUAAGGGGAGUCAAGAUUCACUGAGGGAGGCGAUGUGGGUUGGGCAUGACACUUUACCUUAUUAGAAGUAUCCAUGAGGUUGUAGAAAGUUGGGGUUGGGUGUUCUUAUUAGGUUGCGCAACUCACAACUUUUGCCUUGGCAUCCGAUUCCGGGUUUUGGAGAAUUUGUCGACGUAGAAGAUUUUGUGGAAGAGAUCGAGAAGCUGUGCCAGGCGUGGACUAACGUCGGAUUUUUCAUCUCAUUAUUGAAAAUUUAUUUUUUAAGAGCAACAUUGUCUAUAAUAUAUAAAUUUUGAUGCACUAUUAUUUACUUUUGGAUGUGUAACCUUAUCAA